AUUGAACGCUGGCGGCAUGCCUUACACAUGCAAGUCGAACGGCAGCACGGGAGCAAUCCUGGUGGCGAGUGGCGAACGGGUGAGUAAUAUAUCGGAACGUGCCCAGUCGUGGGGGAUAACGCAGCGAAAGCUGUGCUAAUACCGCAUACGUUCUACGGAUGAAAGCGGGGGAUCGCAAGACCUCGCGCGAUUGGAGCGGCCGAUAUCAGAUUAGCUAGUUGGUGGGGUAAAGGCCCACCAAGGCGACGAUCUGUAGCUGGUCUGAGAGGACGACCAGCCACACUGGAACUGAGACACGGUCCAGACUCCUACGGGAGGCAGCAGUGGGGAAUUUUGGACAAUGGGCGCGAGCCUGAUCCAGCAAUGCCGCGUGCAGGAUGAAGGCCUUCGGGUUGUAAACUGCUUUUGUACGGAACGAAACGGCCCUUUCUAAUACAGGGGGCUAAUGACGGUACCGUAAGAAUAAGCACCGGCUAACUACGUGCCAGCCGCCGCAGUAA
rnacentral:rRNA from 1 species